GCGUCCUCAGCGACGGACCGGG
rnacentral:snRNA from 1 species